rnacentral:lncRNA from 1 species
GUGAACCUAGCCGCUGGGCUGUGCGGACAGGUUCGCGUGGGGCUCCUGGGCCUCCCGCAGCCGCGUAGGUUUCGGGAACCGGGUCGCCUCCCUGCCUCCGGAUUCUCACGCGCUGGUGUCCGGUGGCCCUGGGAAAUCUUUUCUUUUAACAAUGUGUAUUCCUUGGGUCCUACCUAUCUAACACUUCUGCUGGUUUCUUUUUCUUCUCUUUUAGAGUUCAAUAUUUGCUCUGCUCUUUUUUGUUGUUUGUUUGUUUGAGACGGAGUCUCACACUGUCGCCCUGGCUGGAGUGCGGUGGCGCGAUCUCGGCUCACUGCAACCUCCGCCUCCCGGGUUCAAGCGAUUCUCCUGCCUCAGCCUCCCAAGUAGCUAGGAUUGCAGGCGCCCGCCAGAACGCCCAGCUAAUUUUUGUAUUUUUAGUAGAGAUGGAGUUUCACUAUGUUGGCCAGGCUGGUCUCAAACUCCUGACCUCGUGAUCCGCCCGCCGCGGCCUCCCAAAGUGCUGGGAUUACAGGUGUGAGCCACCGCGCCGACCUGCUCUGGUCUUUAUUAUUCUUAUUUUUCUUUACCUUGCUCAGUUCCCUUGUUUUCCCCUAUCGUCGUCUCCUUCCUUCCUUCCUAAGGCUGGCUACAUCUCCCUGUCUCCAACCUGGCUUAGCCACCUUAAUUAGCACCAAUUAUUUUGUUCUUACUUCAGAUGGGUCUUUUUUUCCCUAGUUUUUGUUAUUCCUUAAGUCUUGACUUAACUGUCAGGUCGAUCUCUGAGAGCAGAUCAUGAUUUAUUUAUUGAAGGAGGAGUCCUCUCCUUACUCAGGGGGUUGCUGUUGCCACAUGGCGACUGUGGUCACCGUCUCUCCUGGACCUGCCUAGAUCCAAAAGCCAGCCCUGGAAGGAACACCUCUCAUUCUCAAGAAGAAGUUAAUGUCUGCCUUACAGUAGAUGUCCAAUAAAUCUUCUUUGAACAAUUAAACAGAUGCUCAGACUUCAUUUGACCUAAUUUAGGUGAUCCUAUGGAGGGAUCCAAACCUUUGGACUCCCCCAGUAUCCCUGAAGUGGCCUCUUUUGCUGGUAGAGAAACUUUUGCCCAAGAGUCGGGACACAUCGACACAUCCACUUUUGGGGGGGCUUGGUGCACUCCUGGGACAGUGUGGGGUGAAAGGGUCCCUUUCAGGAGUGAAUUCCCUGACCCUGGACACUCAGCUCUCCUCCUGGUUGGCAGAGUGAAGAGUGUCAUGAUUUCCAGGACCCCUCCCCGCUUCAGCUUUCAGUUCAUCGCUCACUCUGGCUUGAAAACAGUACUGACUUGUUAAGUUGCAUGUCUCUCUUCGCCUUGAGGCUUAAAACACCUAGAAGCCGGGUGUGGUGGCUCGCACCUGUGGUCCCAGCUACUGAGCAGGCUGAGGCGGGAGACUUGCUUGAAGCCAGGAGUCCGAGACCAGCCUGGGUGAUAUAGCGAGACCACAUCUCUAAAAAAUCAAAAACAAAAACAGAACACCUGGCCAGGCACAGUGGCUCAGCCUAUAAUCCCAGCACUUUGGGAGGCAGAGGUGGGUGGAUUGCUUGAACCCAGGAGUUCGAGACCAGCCUGGCCAACAUGAUGAAACCCUGUCUCUACUAAACAUACAAAAAUUAGCUGGCCGCGGUGGCACACUCCUGUAAUCCCAGCUACCUGGGAGGCUGAGACAGAAGAAUCGUUUGAACCCAGGAGGUGGGGGUUGGAAUGAGCCGAAAUGGUGCCAUUGCACUUCAGCCUGGAUGACAGAGCGAGACUCUGUCUCAGAAAAACAAAAACAAAACAAAACAACAACAAAAUCCCAAAACCAGAACACCUGGAAAACACCAGACACAAAUCCCAGGAGUAAUUUUUCUUUCAUCAAAUUGACAAUAGCAUCAAUCAGAAUCCCAGGACUCCUAAAACAUGUUUAACUCCAAAAGCAGAGUUGCAAACUCAAAUGCUACAGGGGCCAAGCAGGCACUGUGGCCACCUAGAAAGUGGACCCUGAAGGUGGGGAAGGUGGGUCCAGCAUCGGUAAAUGUUCUAAUUUUUUUUAAAGAAUCAAUUUUAUAGGCUGGGCGCGGUGGCUCACGCCUGUAAUCCCAGCAUUUUAGGAGGCUGAGGUGGGCGGAUCACCUGAGGUCAGGAGUUCCAGACCAGCCUGACCGACAUGGAGAAACCCCAUCUCUACUAAAAACACAAAAUUAGCCAGGUGUGGUGGCACAUGCCUGUAAUCCCAGGUAAUCAGGAGGCUGAGGCAGGAGAAUCGCUUGAACCCAGGAGGCGGAGGUUGGGGUGAGCUGAGAUUGCGCCAUUGCACUCCAGCAUGGGAAGAAGAGCGAAACUCCGUCUAAAAAAAUAAAAGAAUCAGUUUUAUGAGUGUCAAUUUUUUAAUGUUAGAAACUAAGUUAAAAAAAAAACAAAAUUAGCUGGGCGCGGUGGCUCACGCCUGUAAUCCCAGCACUUUGGGAGGCCAAGGCAGGUGGAUCACUCAAGGUCAGGAGUUCGAGACCAGACUAGCCAACACGGUGAAACCCCGUCUCUACUGAAAAUACAAAAAUUAGCCCGGCAUGGUGAUGGGCACCUGUAAUCUCAAAUACUUGGGAAGCUGAGGCAG